GACGUAGGGUGCGAGCGUUGUCCGGAUUUAUUGGGCGUAAAGAGCUCGUAGGCGGCUUGUUACGUCGGCUGUGAAAACCCGCGGCUCAACCGCGGGCCUGCAGCCGAUACGGGCAGGCUAGAGUUCGGUAGGGGAGACUGGAAUUCCUGGUGUGGCGGUGAAAUGCGCAGAUAUCAGGAGGAACACCUAUGGCGAAGGCAGCACUCUGGUACGUGACUGACGCUGAGACGCGAAAGCGUGGGGAGCAAACAGG
rnacentral:rRNA from 1 species